AAAAAAAAAAAAAAAAAAAACAAAAAUACAACAAAAAAUAUAAAAAGUAAGAAUUUAAAAAAGGACAAAAAUUGAAUAAAAAUUUCAAAAAUGAAAUAGAAUGACAAAAAGAAAAAAAAUAGUUUAAAAAUACAAAAAAUUGAAAACAUAUAAGACCUAACAAUAACAAAAGUCAGACAAAAAAUAAAAAAGUAUGAGAAUUUAAAAACGGAAAUAAAAAAUGAAAGGAAAUUUGUGGGAAAAAAAUUGAAAAGGCAAAAGAUUUGGAAUAAAAAACAGAGAAAUAAAAAAUUUUAAAACAACGAAAAAAUUAAAACAAGAACAAGGAAAAUUGUGAAGGGAAAAAGUUAUUAAAAAUUACAAAGUAGAAAAAAAAAAUUGAACUUUAUAAAAAUUUUCUAAAAUAUAAAUAAAAAAUAAUUAAGAGAAAAAAUUAAAUGAAAUACGAAAGUAAGAAAAUGAAAAAUCAGGGAAUCAAAAAAAUAUAAAAAGACAAAAUGAAUAAAAAUUUCAAAUAUAAAAUGGAAAAAACUAUUAGUUUAGAAUGUACAAAGAAAAACAAAAAAAAACUAUAACAAAUAGAGGACAAAGAUAUAAAACAUGAAAAAUGAAAAAUAAAAUAAAAGAAGUUUGAGGUUUUAAAAUUAUAAAGAAGAAAUAAAAAAAAAAGUGUGAACAAAAAGAUUUAACAAAAAGCAAGAAAAAAAAUAAAAAAGGAAAAUACAAAAUACAUAAAAUAAAAUUUGAGAAAAAAAAAGGGAAAAAGAAGAAAAAAAUAAAAAGUGAAGAGGCAAAAACAUGAAAGAAAAGAAAAAGAAAAAAUUUAUAGAAAAUUUUAAAACAAAGGAAAACGUGAAAGCACAUAAAAAAAGAAUAAAAAUUUGAAAGGAGAAAAAGUUAAUGAAAAAUUAUAAAAAUGCAAUAGAAAAUAACUAAGAAUGAUAAAAGAAAAAAAGAUAGAAAAAUUAAAAAUUCCAAAACUUUAUAAAAAUUUAUGAAACUAUAAACAAAGAAAGAAAAUAAAAAAAGAAAAAAAAAUGAAAGCAAACGAAAAAAGAUAAAUAAAGCACAAAAAAAGAGAAAAAACAAAAAUACAACAAAAAAUAUAAAAAGUAAGAAAAGAAAAAAAGAAAAAAAUUGAAUAAAAAUUUCAAAAAUGAAAUGGAAUGACAAAAAGGAAAAAAAUAGUUUAAAAAAUACAAAAAAUUGAAAAACAUAUAAGACCUAACAAUAUAAAAAGUCAUACAAAAAAUUAAAAAAGAGAAAAGUUAAUGCAAAAUAAAAAAAGUAUGAGAAUUUAAAAACAGAAAUAAGAAAUGAAAGGAAAUUUGUGGGAAAAAAAAUAGAAUAGCACGAAAAGAAUAAAAAUGAAAAGACAAAAUAUUUGGAAUAAAAAACAAAAAAAUAAAAAUUUUAAAACAGCGAAAAAAUUAAAGCAAGAAAAAUGAAAGUAUAUGAAAAAAAAACAAGAAGAAGGGAAAUUGUGAAGGGAAAAAGUUAUUAAAAAAUCACAAAGUAGAAAAAAAAAAUAAAAAAGAUGCAAAAAAUAAGAAAAAAAAUUGAACUUUAUAAAAAUUUUCUAAAAUAUAAAUAAAAAAUAAAUGAAAAAAUAAAUUAAGGGAAAAAAUUAAAAUAAACAAAUAGAAAAAAGUAACAAAGUAAGAAAAUAAAAUAAAGUAAGAAAAUUUUAAAACAAAGGAAAAAGUGAACAAAAAAAAUGAAAGCACAUAAAAAAAAGAAGAAAAAUUUGAAAGGAGAAAAAAUUAAUGAAAAAUUAUAAAAAUGCAAUAGAAAAUAACCGAGAAUGAUAAAAGAAAACAAGAUAGAAAAAUAAAAUAUUCCAAAACUUUAUAAAAACUUAUGAAACUAUAAACAAAGAAAGAAAAUAAAAAGAAAAAAAAUGAAAGCAACAGAAAAAAGAUAAAUAAAGCACAAAAAAACAAAAAAAACAAAAUACAACAAAAAUUAUAAAAAGUAAGAAAAGAAAAAAGGACAAAAUUUGAAUAUAAAUUUCAAAAAUGAAAUGGAAUGACAAAAAGAAAAAAAAUAGUUUAAAAAAUACAAAAAAUUGAAAAACAAAUAAGACCUAACAAUAUAAAAAGUCAGACAAAAAAUGAAAAAAGAGAAAAGUUAAUGCAAGAUAAAAAAAUUAUGAGAAUUUAAAUACAGAAAUAAGAAAUGAAAGGAAAUUUGUGGGAAAAAAAAAUAGAAUAGCAAGAAAAGACAAAAGCUUUGGAAUAAAAAACCAAAAAAUAAAAAAUUUUAAAAGAACGAAAAAAUUAAAACAAGAAAAAAUGAAAGUAGAUGAAAAGAAAAACAAGAAGAAGGAAAAUUGUGAAGGGAAAAAGUUAUCAAAAAAUUACAAAGUAGAAAAAAAAAUAAAAAAGAUUCAAAAAAUAAGAAAAAAAAUUUGAACUUUAUAAAAAUUUUCUAAAAUAUAAAUAAAAAAUAAAUCAAGGAAAAAAAUAAAAAAGUAACAAAGUAAGAAAAUAAAAAAUUAGCGAAUCAAAAAAAUAUAAAAAGACAAAAUGAAAGCACAUAAGAAAAAGAAGAAAAAUUUGAAAGGAGAAAAAGUUAAUGAAAAAUUAUAAAAAUGCAAUAGAAAACAACCAAGAAUGAUAAAAGAAAAAAAGAUAGAAAAAUAAAAAAUUCCAAAACUUUAUAAAAAUUUAUAAAACUAUAAACAAAGAAAAAAAUAAAAUAGAAAAAUAGAAAAAGAUAAAAGAUAAAUAAAGCACAAAAAAGGAAAAAAAUACAACAAAAAAUAUAAAAAGGGCAAAAAUUGAAUAAAAAUAGUUUAAAAAAUACAAAAAAUUGAAAAACAUAUAAGACCUAACAAUAUAAAAAGUCAAAUAAAAAAUUAAAAAAGAGAAAAGUUAAUGCAAAAUAAAAAAAUUAUGAGUAUUUAAAACGCAAAUAAGAAAUGAAAGGAAAUUUGUGGGAAAAAAAAAAAGGAAAGCAACAAAAGAAUAAAAAUGAAAAGACAAAAGAAUUGGAAUAAAAAACAGAAAAAUAAAAAAUUUUAAAACAACAAAAAAAAUUAAAACAAGUAAAAAUGAAAGCAUAUUAAAAAAAAAAAAGCAAAAAAAAGGAAAAUUGUGAAGGGAAAAAGUUAUUAAAAAAUUACAAAGUAGAAAAAAAAUAAGAAAAUAAAAAAAAAAAAUUUUUUAACUUUAUAAAAAUUUUUAAAAUAUAAAUAAAAAUAAAUGAAAAAAAUAAAUUAAGGGAAAAAAUAAAAAUAAACAAAAAAAGUAACAAAGUAAGAAAAUAAAAAUUAGCGAAUCAAAAAAAUAUAAUAAGACAAAAUGUAUAAAAUUUCAAAUAUAAAAUGAAAAAACUUUUAGUUUAGAAUGUACAAAGAAAAACAAAAAAAAAUAUAACAAAUAGAGGACAAAGAUAUAAAAUAUGAAAGAUGAAAAAUAAAAUAAAAGUUAAUAAAAAAUAUGAAUAAAAAUAAAAGAAAGUGACAAAAAAAGAAGUUUGAGGUUUUAAAAUUAUAAAGAAGAAAUAAAAAAAAAGUGUGAACAAAAAGAUUUAAGAAAAAGCAAGAAAAAAAUAAAAAAGGAAAAUACAAAAUACACAAAAAAAAUUUUGAGAAAAAAAAAAAGAGAAAAAGAAGAAAAAAAUAAAAAAUGAAGAGGCAAAAAUAUGAAAGAAAAGAAAAAGAAAAAAAAUUUAUAGACAAUUUUAAAACAAAGGAAAAAGUGAACAAAAAAAAAAAAUAAAAGCACAUAAAAAAAAGAAGAAAAAUUUGAAAGGAGAAAAAGUUAAUGAAAAAUUAUAAAAUGCAAAAGAGAAUAACCAAGAAUGAUAAAAGAAAAAAAGAUAGAAAAAUAAAAAAUUCCAAAACUUUAUAAAAAUUUAUAAAACUAUAAACAAAGAAAGAAAAUAAAAAAUAAAUAUAGAAAAAGAAAAAAUACAAUAAAAAUAUAAAAAGGACAAAAAUUGAAUAAAAAUUUCAAAAAUGAAAUGGAAUGACAAAAUGAAAAAAAAUAGUUUAAAAAAUACAAAAAUUGAAAAACAUAUAAGACCUAACAAUAUAAAAAGUCAGAGAAAAAAAUUAAAAAGAGAAAAAGUUAAUGCAAAAUAAAAAAAAGUAUGAGAAUUUAAAAACGCAAAUAAGAAAUGAAAGGAAAUUUGUGGGGAAAAAAAAGAAAAGCAAGAAAAGAAUAAAAAUGAAAAGAAAAAAGAUUUGGAAUAAAAAACAGAAAAAUAAAAAUUUUAAAACAAUUAAAAAUAGAAGAAAGUGCACAAAAAAAAAGUUUCAGGUUUUAAAAUUAUGAAGAAGAAAUAAAAAAAAGUGUGAACAAAAAGAUUUAAGAAAAAGCAAGAAAAAAAAUAAAAAAUGAAAAUACAAAAUACAUAAAAUAAAAUUUGAGAAAAAAUGAGAAAAGGAAGAAAAAAAUAAGAAAUGAAGAGGCAAAAAUAUGAAAGAAAAGAAAAGAAAAAGAAAAAAAUUUAUAGAAAAUUUUAAAACAAAGGAAAAAGUUAACAAAAAAAAUGAAAGCACAUAAAAAAAAGAAGAAAAAUUUGAAAGGAGAAAAAGUUAAUGAAAAAUUAUAAAAAUGCAAUAGAAAAUAACCGAGAAUGAUAAAAGAAAAAAAGAUAGAAAAAUAAAAAAUUCCAAAACUUUAUAAAAAUUUAUGAAACUAUAAACAAAGAAAGAAAAUAAAAAAUAAAAAGAAAAAAUGAAAGCAAAAGAAAAAAAGAUAAUAAAGCAAAAAAAAAAAAAAAAAACAAAAAAACAAAAAAAAAAAAAAAAAUAAAAAAACAAAAAAGAAUAAAAAUUUAAAAAAAAGGACAAAAAGAAAAAAUAAAAAUUUCAAAAAUGAAAAAUAGAUACAAUAAAAAAAAAAAAAAAAAAAAAAAAAAAAAAAAAAAAAAAAAAAAAAAAAAAAAAAAAAAAAAAAAAAAAAAAAAAAAAAAAAAAAAAAAAAAGUCAGAAAAAAAAAAGAAGUAUGAGAAUUAAAAGGAAAUAAAAAAUGAAAGGAAAUUUGUGGAAAAAAAAUUGAAAAGGCAAAAGAUUUGGAAUAAAAAACAGAGAAAUAAAAAAUUUUAAAACAACGAAAAAAAAAACAAGAACAAGGAAAAUUGUGAAGGGAAAAAGUUAUUAAAAAAUUACAAAGUAGAAAAAAAAAAAAAAAAAAAUUGAACUUUAUAAAAAUUUUCUAAAAUAUAAAUAAAAAAUAAUUAAGAGAAAAAAUUAAAUGAAAUACGAAAGUAAGAAAAUGAAAAAUCAGCGAAUCAAAAAAAUAUAAAAAGACAAAAUGAAUAAAAAUUUCAAAUAUAAAAUGGAAAAAAACUAUUAGUUUAGAAU
rnacentral:lncRNA from 1 species